rnacentral:snoRNA from 7 species
UGGAUCUAUGAUGACCUCUGGUGCCGUAUGAGUCGGGGAUCAUGAUCACAGGUCUGGGAGUCUGAGGUCCAC